rnacentral:rRNA from 1 species
AUAAAAAACCAAUGCCCUUCGGGGCUCUCUGGUGAUUCAUAAUAACUUCUCGAAUCGCACGGCCUUGUGCCGGCGAUGGUUCAUUCAAAUUUCUGCCCUAUCAACUUUCGACGGCUGGGUCUUGGCCAGCCGUGGUGACAACGGGUAACGGAGGGUUAGGGCUCGACCCCGGAGAAGGAGCCUGAGAAACGGCUACUACAUCCAAGGAAGGCAGCAGGCGCGCAAAUUACCCAAUCCCGACACGGGGAGGUAGUGACAAUAAAUACUGAUACAGGGCUCUUUCGGGUCUUGUAAUUGGAAUGAGUACAAUUUAAAUCCCUUAACGAGGAACAAUUGGAGGGCAAGUCUGGUGCCAGCAGCCGCGGUAAUUCCAGCUCCAAUAGCGUAUAUUAAAGUUGUUGAGGUUAAAAAGCUCGUAGUUGAACCUUGGGCCUAGCCGGCCGGUCCGCCUCACCGCGUGCACUGGCUCGGCUGGGUCUUUCCUUCUGGAGAACCGCAUGCCCUUCACUGGGUGUGCC